rnacentral:rRNA from 1 species
UACGAAGGGGGCUAGCGUUGCUCGGAAUCACUGGGCGUAAAGGGUGCGUAGGCGGGUCUUUAAGUCAGGGGUGAAAUCCUGGAGCUCAACUCCAGAACUGCCUUUGAUACUGAAGAUCUUGAGUUCGGGAGAGGUGAGUGGAACUGCGAGUGUAGAGGUGAAAUUCGUAGAUAUUCGCAAGAGCGCCAGUGGCGAAGGCGGCUCACUGGCCCGAUACUGACGCUGAGGCACGAAAGCGUGGGGAGCAAACAGG